rnacentral:rRNA from 1 species
UGGGGAAUAUUGGACAAUGGGCGAAGGCCUGAUCCAGCCAUGCCGCGUGUGUGAAGAAGGCCUUUUGGUUGUAAAGCACUUUAAGUGGGGAGGAAAAGCUUAUGGUUAAUACCCAUAAGCCCUGACGUUACCCACAGAAUAAGCACCGGCUAACUCUGUGCCAGCAGCCGCGGUAAUACAGAGGGUGCAAGCGUUAAUCGGAAUUACUGGGCGUAAAGCGCGCGUAGGUGGUUAUUUAAGUCAGAUGUGAAAGCCCCGGGCUUAACCUGGGAACUGCAUCUGAUACUGGAUAACUAGAGUAGGUGAGAGGGGAGUAGAAUUCCAGGUGUAGCGGUGAAAUGCGUAGAGAUCUGGAGGAAUACCGAUGGCGAAGGCAGCUCCCUGGCAUCAUACUGACACUGAGGUGCGAAAGCGUGGGUAGCAAACAGGAUUAGAUACCCUGGUAGUCCACGCCGUAAACGAUGUCUACCAGUCGUUGGGUCUUUUAAAGACUUAGUGACGCAGUUAACGCAAUAAGUAGACCGCCUGGGGAGUACGGCCGCAAGGUUA